UACAGCGAUCUCUCGUUGAUCUCCAACUGC
rnacentral:piRNA from 1 species